rnacentral:rRNA from 1 species
UACGAAGGGGGCUAGCGUUGCUCGGAAUCACUGGGCGUAAAGCGCACGUAGGCGGCUUUCUAAGUCAGGGGUGAAAUCCUGGAGCUCAACUCCAGAACUGCCUUUGAUACUGGAAGCUUGAGUCCGGGAGAGGUGAGUGGAACUGCGAGUGUAGAGGUGAAAUUCGUAGAUAUUCGCAAGAACACCAGUGGCGAAGGCGGCUCACUGGCCCGGUACUGACGCUGAGGUGCGAAAGCGUGGGGAGCAACAGG